rnacentral:rRNA from 1 species
UGGGGAAUUUUGGACAAUGGGCGAAAGCCUGAUCCAGCCAUGCCGCGUGAGUGAAGAAGGCCUUCGGGUUGUAAAGCUCUUUUAGUCGGAAAGAAAGAGUUGCAAUGAAUAAUUGUGAUUUAUGACGGUACCGACAGAAAAAGCACCGGCUAACUACGUGCCAGCAGCCGCGGUAAUACGUAGGGUGCGAGCGUUAAUCGGAAUUACUGGGCGUAAAGGGUGCGCAGGCGGUCUUGCAAGUCAGAUGUGAAAGCCCCGGGCUUAACCUUGGAAUUGCGUUUGAAACAACAAGACUAGAGUGCAGCAGAGGGGAGUGGAAUUCCAUGUGUAGCAGUGAAAUGCGUAGAGAUGUGGAAGAACACCGAUGGCGAAGGCAGCUCCCUGGGUUGACACUGACGCUCAUGCACGAAAGCGUGGGGAGCAAACA